UGGGGAAUUUUGCACAAUGGGGGAAACCCUGAUGCAGCGACGCCGCGUGAUUUAGAAGGCCUUCGGGUUGUAAAAAUCUUUUUUACGGGAUGAAAAUGACAGUACCGUAAGAAUAAGGUCCGGCUAAAUACGUGCCAGCAGCCGCGGUAAUACGUAUGGACCGAGCGUUGUCCGGAAUCAUUGGGCGUAAAGGGUACGUAGGCGGCCUAAUAAGUUAGAAGUGAAAGAAUAUAGCUCAACUAUAUAAAGCUUUUAAAACUGUUAGGCUUGAGAGAUGAAAUGGAAAGUGGAAUUCCUAGUGUAGCGGUGAAAUGCGCAGAUAUUAGGAAGAAUACCGGUGGCGAAGGCGACUUUCUGGUCAUCAUCUGACGCUGAGGUACGAAAGCGUGGGUAGCAAACAGG
rnacentral:rRNA from 1 species